ACUCAAAGGAAUAGACGGGGGCCCGCACAAGCGGUGGAGCAUGUUGUUUAAUACGUCACUAACCGUAGAACCUUACCAGGGUUUGACAUCCGUCGCACCCGUGUGAAAGCAUGGUCCCGAGCAAUCGGGCGGCGAGACAGGUGUUGCAUGGCUGUCGUCAGCUCGUGUCGUGAGAUGUUGGGUUAAGUCCCGCAACGAGCGCAACCCUCAUCCCAUGUUGCCAGCGAGUAAAGUCGGGAACUCUUGGGAAACUGCCGGGGUAACUCGGAGGAAGGUGAGGACGACGUCAAGUCAGCAUGGCCCUUACACCCUGGGCUACAAACAUGCUACAAUGGACGGUAGACAGACGGACCCGAACGCGUGAGCGGGAGGCAAUCUGACAAAUCCGUUCUCAGUUCGGAUCGCAGGCUGCAACUCGCCUGCGUGAAGUCGGAAUCGCUAGUAACCGCAGAUCAGCUAAGCUGCGGUGAAUACGUUCCCGGGCCUUGCACACACCGCCCGU
rnacentral:rRNA from 1 species